rnacentral:rRNA from 1 species
AAAAAAGGUAAGCUACUAAGAGCGAAUGGUGGAUGCCUUGACUGGUAAAGGCGAUGAAGGACGUACUAGACUGCGAUAAGCUACGGGGAGCUGUCAAGAAGCUUUGAUCCGUAGAUUUCCGAAUGGGGCAACCCAAUGUAUAGAGAUAUACAUUACCUAUAUAGGAGCGAACGAGGGGAAUUGAAACAUCUUAGUACCCUCAGGAAAAGAAAUCAAUAGAGAUUGCGUCAGUAGCGGCGAGCGAAAGCGCAAGAGGGCAAACCCAGUGCUUGCACUGGGGGUUGUAGGACUGCAAUGUGCAAGAGGUAAGUUUAGCAGAACAUUCUGGAAAGUAUAACCAUAGAGGGUGAUAGUCCCGUAUGCGAAAAACAAACCUUAGCUAGCAGUAUCCUGAGUAGGGCGGGACACGAGGAAUCCUGUCUGAAUCCGGGUCGACCACGAUCCAACCCUAAAUACUAAUACCAGAUCGAUAGUGCACAAGUACCGUGAGGGAAAGGUGAAAAGAACUGAGGUGAUCAGAGUGAAAUAGAACCUGAAACCAUUUGCUUACAAUCAUUCAGAGCCCUAUGUAGCAAUACAGGGUGAUGGACUGCCUUUUGCAUAAUGAGCCUGCGAGUUGUGGUGUCUGGCAAGGUUAAGCAAACGCGAAGCCGUAGCGAAAGCGAGUCUGAAUAGGGCGCUUAGUCAGAUGCUGCAGACCCGAAACGAAGUGAUCUAUCCAUGAGCAAGUUGAAGCUAGUGUAAGAACUAGUGGAGGACUGAACCCAUAGGCGUUGAAAAGCCCCGGGAUGACUUGUGGAUAGGGGUGAAAGGCCAAUCAAACUUCGUGAUAGCUGGUUCUCUCCGAAAUAUAUUUAGGUAUAGCGUUGUGUCGUAAUAUAAGGGGGUAGAGCACUGAAUGGGCUAGGGCAUACACCAAUGUACCAAACCCUAUCAAACUCCGAAUACCUUAUAUGUAAUCACAGCAGUCAGGCGGCGAGUGAUAAAAUCCGUCGUCAAGAGGGAAACAACCCAGACUACCAGCUAAGGUCCCUAAAUCUUACUUAAGUGGAAAACGAUGUGAAGUUACUUAAACAACCAGGAGGUUGGCUUAGAAGCAGCCAUCCUUUAAAGAAAGCGUAAUAGCUCACUGGUCUAGUGAUUUUGCGCGGAAAAUAUAACGGGGCUAAAGUAAGUACCGAAGCUGUAGACUUGCACACAACUUAGAUUAUUUAAGUUUAGAAUAUUAAGAAACUAAGUUAUAUGUUUUAGUUAUAUUUUUACUGAUUUUUAUAGGGUAAAGAUAGAAAUAAAACUUAGUAAAAUCAGUAAAAAUAUUCUUAGGCUAAAGUUAAGUAGUUUAAGUUGUGUGCAAGUGGUAGGAGAGCGUUCUAUUUGCGUCGAAGGUAUACCGGUAAGGAGUGCUGGAGCGAAUAGAAGUGAGCAUGCAGGCAUGAGUAGCGAUAAUUAAUGUGAGAAUCAUUAACGCCG